rnacentral:rRNA from 1 species
AUCCUGCCAGUAGUCAUAUGCUUGUCUCAAAGAUUAAGCCAUGCAUGUCUAAGUUCACACUGUUUGAAGGUGAAACCGCGAAUGGCUCAUUAAAUCAGUCGAGGUUCCUUAGAUGACACGAUCCUACUUGGAUAACUGUGGCAAUUCUAGAGCUAAUACAUGCAACUGAAGCUCCGACCUGUAAAGGGAAGAGCGCUUUUAUUAGUUCAAAACCAAUGGUCGUCGGCUUCGGUCGGCGGCGUAACCUUUGGUGACUCUGGAUAACUUUGUGCUGAUCGCAGGGCCUUUGUGCCGGCGACGCAUCUUUCAAAUGUCUGCCCUAUCAAAUGUCGAUGGUACGUGAUAUGCCUACCAUGUUUGUAACGGGUAACGGGGAAUCAGGGUUCGAUUCCGGAGAGGGAGCAUGAGAAACGGCUACCACAUCCAAGGAAGGCAGCAGGCGCGCAACUUACCCACUCCCGGCACGGGGAGGUAGUGACGAAAAAUAACAAUACGGGACUCUUUUCGAGGCCCCGUAAUUGGAAUGAGUACACUUUAAAACCUUUAACGAGGAUCUAUUGGAGGGCAAGUCUGGUGCCAGCAGCCGCGGUAAUUCCAGCUCCAAUAGCGUAUAUUAAAGUUGUUGCAGUUAAAAAGCUCGUAGUUGGAUCUCAGGUGCAGGCGAGCGGUCCGGCUCGCGCCGGUUCACUGCUCGUAUCUCCUGCCCUACCGUCUGUCGGCUCUCUCCCGUGGGUGCUCUUUACUGAGCGUCCCGGGUGGCCGGCGCGUUUACUUUGAAAAAAUUAGAGUGUUCAAAGCAGGCCUCGCCGCCUGAAUAAUGGUGCAUGGAAUAAUGGAAUAGGAUCUCGGUUCUAUUUUGUUGGUUUUCGGAACUGGAGGUAAUGAUUAACAGGGACAAACGGGGGCAUUCGUAUUGCGGCGUUAGAGGUGAAAUUCUUGGAUCGCCGCAAGACGAGCUACUGCGAAAGCAUUUGUCAAGAAUGUUUUCAUUAGUCAAGAACGAAAGUCAGAGGUUCGAAG